ensembl:snoRNA small nucleolar RNA SNORA54
CAGCACUGUUCGUAACCUGGUUCAAUCACUAGUGUGAACUCUGGUUCCAUUCCAGUGCUAGAGUAAUCUCCAGUGAGGCAGGGGAGCAAGACCGCAUCUGUCCCUGCUCCCUGUUCACUCUCUGGAAACAGUG